rnacentral:lncRNA from 1 species
UUUUUUAACCUGGUGUGCUGGUUAUUUUCUACUUCUCCGAAACCCAUUAGGAUUCACUCUGUUUUACUGUACCAUUCUCACCGCCCCAGCAGACUGACUGCUAAGUUCUAAAUCACCCAGAUUGCCUCGCCUCUUCACUUCUUGAUGGGCUCAGCCAAUGAGAGCACUUGCGAAUGAUCCAAGGACAGAAACAGAGAAAAGCCAGGGUAUUUACUCUUCCUUCUACAUUCCACUUUGCCAUGGGUCUAGCCAAGGCAGCAUCCCUGGGUAAUCACAGCUUCAAUAAGGAAAGACAAUUCAAUGGACCCUGGAGUGGGAUGGCAGAUACAUCAUCAUCUGCAAUCGUUCGGUCAAAGUGGCAGCCACUCGCCACAUGUGGCUAUCGAGCACUUGAAAUAUGGUUAGACUGAAUGGAGAUGUGCAACAAGGAAGAGAUACCAGAGCUCUCGUUCUACCACAUGAGAAGACAUGAGAAGCCAGGAAGAAAGACUUCAUCUGGGAACCAAAUGGUCACAGCACCAUGAUCUUGGACUUCUAGCCUCCAGUGCUGUGAGAAAUAAAUUCCUGUUGUUUAAGCC